GGGAACAGCGUGAAUGCCCCUCCUCUCCCGGCCUUUCCUUCCCGUCAGUUACGACAGGCCAUUAGAGGUUAUUUACAUUCAAUAGUUACACCUGACACACCUGUAAAGUCUUCUAAUUUUCGUGAAAUGUUGUCUUCAAUCCACUCUUCUGUGGAAGCAAAGGAGCAUUCUCUAGCACCGUUAACAUUACUUGGUGUCAGAAGGGGGAUCUGAAGGAGAUGAACCCCUGAAGAAUUAAUGAUCCCUGGAAUCAUGCACGGUACCCACUUGAUCCUCUUGUGCUCCCCACUUCCUUUUGGUUCGAGUUCACUGUGGGCUGGAGGAAGAGAAGGUGGGGUGCAGCCUCGGAGAGAGGAGAGCAUAACUGGAAGGCAUGUUGAACAGCAGUUGCUGAAGUGAUUUUGAUGAAAUGUGACCUUUGAAGACUGUGGCCACUGACCAAAGAAUCUGAACUACAGUAUCCAACAUUUUACAGGCUACAAAACAUAAGCUGGCCAGCAUUUAUUGCUUGUACUAACAGCUUGAGUCAAGUUUCCUAAGCCUACAGAGAAGACCUCUUACUGCUGCUAAUUUUACUAUCAGCGAAGAAAAGGGAAAUAGGAAACCGUAUGGAAUGGCUGAAUGAGAGCAUUUGUGAGAGCAGUAUGAACUUGGAUUAUCUGAAGAGAGGGCAACUUUUUUCUAAAACUAAAAAGGACUCAAUUUGCAUAGAAAUAAAGUGGGAAAAGAUGUAAUGUAGAAAAAGUUAUAAGCAGAGAUUCUGCUCUGGCCUCUCAGGAUGGCAUUGAUUUACAUAUUAAGGCAGUCACCAGGGAAAUGUUAAAAACCCUCUAGGGAAAUUUCCAAUGUGAUGGAUAGAACUUUAAUAUUAAUAUAGGAUUCAUCAUGAUAAUGUAAGUCAUAGAUCUAAGUCUCCCUUCAUCAAAUGAAUAGUCCCUUUCCAGCCUAUUAUACAGGCAGCAUAUGCUUUAAAUAGUGUCAUGUGAGAGACUUGAAGUCUUUCUUUAUCUGCAGUUUCUGAAGUUUUGUUCACAGGAAUAGUGACCCACCGGGUCAUCCAUCUUUAAUUACGUCAUCUAGACCAUUUGCAUUUUCCCCUUUUUAUUAAUAUUUAGUGUUCCUUAAAAUAUACUUCCAUCGUACUUUUUUUCACAAAUAGAAAAGCAUAAUUCAACACAUACUAUUUCAUACAUGCAGUGAGUAUGAAGGGAAGAUCUGAUUCUUAAUCUAUUCGUUGAUCAUUAUAUAAGGAAAAAAGUGAUUUCUGGGUUGCUAUUUGAUUUAGUUAUCUAGUACAUAAUUAUCAACCAUAUGCAUGUGUACUGUUCAUCUUACUCCGGGUUUCCUAGUCUUCUAACACUGACACCCCACAAAAUGGUGGCUGAGUCUCU